rnacentral:rRNA from 1 species
UACAGAGGGUGCAAGCGUUGUCCGGAUUUAUUGGGUUUAAAGGGUGCGUAGGCGGUUCUUUAAGUCCGGGGUGAAAGCCCACUGCUCAACAGUGGAACUGCCCUGGAAACUGGAGAACUUGAGUACAGACGAGGGCGGCGGAAUGGAUGGUGUAGCGGUGAAAUGCAUAGAUACCAUCCAGAACCCCGAUUGCGAAGGCAGCUGCCUAGACUGUAACUGACGCUGAGGCACGAAAGCGUGGGGAGCGAACAGG